rnacentral:misc_RNA from 1 species
UCUCCGUUGGUGAACCAGCGGAGGGAUCAUUACAGAGUUGCGAAACUCCCUAAACCAUUUGUGAACCUACCCCCAAAACAGUUGCUUCGGCGGCGCCCUAGCCGGCCCGCCAGAGGACCCCUAAACUCUGUUUCUAUAUGUAACUUCUGAGUAAAACCAUAAAUAAAUCAAAACUUUCAACAACGGAUCUCUUGGUUCUG